UAUCUCUGUAGAGUCUGCAUAUCAAUAAGCGGAGGAAAAGAAACUAACAAGGAUUCCCCUAGUAACGGCGAGUGAAGCGGGAAGAGCUCAAAUUUGAAAUCUUCAAGGUUUGACCUUGACGAAUUGUAGUUUAAAGAAGUGUUUUCGGUUAGAGGAGUAGUAAAAGUUCUUUGGAAUAGGACAUCAUAGAGGGUGAGAAUCCCGUAUUUGACUAUUCUUUCUAGCUUUGUGAUACACUUUCAAAGAGUCGGAUUGUUUGGGAAUGCAGUCCAAAAUGGGUGGUAAAUUUCAUCUGAAGCUAAAUAUUGGCGAGAGACCGAUAGCGAACAAGUACCGUGAGGGAAAGAUGAAAAGAACUUUGAAAAGAGAGUUAAACAGUACGUGAAAUUGUCAAAAGGGAAGCGUUUGACACCAGUGUUGUUUUUCCGAAAAUCAAUUAAAAAUUGAUUCAUGCCAGGUUGUAUUGACCUUAUCAGCUUGCAAUUUGGUUUUGGGUCUCUUUUUGAUGCACUUUUCGGUUAACAAGUCAACAUCAAUUUCCUUUGCUGUAAAAAGGUAAGAGGAAGGUGGCUUCAAUUUCGGUUGAAGUGUUUAUAGCCUUUUAUCUCUGCAGUCGGGGAGAUUGAGGUCUGCAGCGUAGAUCCUUCGGGGCUAGAUACAUUUAUGCUAAGUUAUAGCUUUUCAUAGACAACUUGUUGACUAUGUUUAGUCAUGUAGCUUACUCGUAAGUGCUAUUUUACCUACGCUUAGGAUGUUGAAGACUCUACAGAGAUA
rnacentral:rRNA from 1 species